CUAUAUCUAUAUAAAGUUAGUUUACUGUGGUAUUAUCAUUGAUUAUGAAAAGAAAAGUAAAGCUAGGUUAUGAGGAUUUUUUUUUUAUUUUGGAAUGUCAUGAAUAAAGCCAGAGGAAUCUGAAUAUCUGGCAAAAACUCAAAUACAGGAGGCCUUUUUUAUAUUCAACUGCAGGUUAUGAUAUACAAUGUUCAUGUACAUGUAUAACACUGAUCCAUCUGGAUCUAUCUGGAGUGGUAUAUAAACUUCACUUGCCAUGCUUGUCGCAUACUGAACAUUUAACUCCUUUCCUUUAACAAUUUAAUAUACCCGGUACAUGAUUAUGAGGAUACAAACAAUUUAAUAUACAUGAUUAUGAUGAUACAUGUCAAGAUUGUUCACAGAAUGACAAUUGAGUUAUCAGGCAAUUAACUUUCACUGUCCCAUUAUUUAUCACACAAUUUUGGUUGAAAUCAAAUUAUGUUAUGCCCAAAUUGCAACAUGGCUACAGAUGCCUUAAGGUAGUCACUAAUUUUCCUUUAAAUUUUUUAUCAGACUAUGACAAUAACUGUAUGUGUAUAACUGUAAAUAAAAUGCUGAAUAUUUAUGCAUUUUUUUUAUAUGACAGUUAUUAAGCAGGUCUUGAAUGAAGUCUUGAUUAUGGAGGAUCUGUUUGUAAAUUCCUGACAUGAAAAAAAAAAUGACGGAGGGAGAAGUCCAGGUCAAUGUUAGAAGGACAAUUCAGCAAAGUUCCAACAGAUAUAAAAUGAAAUCUGAUUUUGAGGCAAAUAUAUAUAUGUAAGAUGAAUAGAAGACAUGAUACUCUAGCAGUGCUUCAGAAUCACACUACAGAAGUAUGAAGAAUUUUGAUUGUAAUCAAGUUAACCUGAAGCUUCAUAGUAAAACAGAUGCUAGGCAACACCUUCACUAUUCAAGUCAGACUAUUAAAGCAAGUUUUUUUGUUGAUAGCUGAACUUAUGAAGAAGAAAUCAAAGAGUGGAGCCUUUAGAAGAUAGAACAUUCAAAUAUUAUUUGUUACUAUUUCAGUAAUUAUAACUUAUCGAAUGUGAACUGUUGAACAUAUUCUUAAAUAUAAAUAUAAUUGAAUUUCAAGUUGGAAA